rnacentral:hammerhead_ribozyme from 1 species
GUACUGCUGAAGAGUUCCAAACCACGACGAAACAGCUGUCCAGUAC